UACGUAGGGGGCUAGCGUUGUCCGGAAUCAUUGGGCGUAAAGCGCGUGUAGGCGGCCCGGUAAGUCCGCUGUGAAAGUCGGGGGCUCAACCCUCGGAUGCCGGUGGAUACUGUCGGGCUAGAGUACGGAAGAGGCGAGUGGAAUUCCUGGUGUAGCGGUGAAAUGCGCAGAUAUCAGGAGGAACACCAAUGGCGAAGGCAGCUCGCUGGGACGGUACUGACGCUGAGACGCGAAAGCGUGGGGAGCAAACAGG
rnacentral:rRNA from 1 species